rnacentral:lncRNA from 1 species
AGUGAGGAGAGCUCGCUGGGCCCUGCACCCAUCCAGCAAUGGUGGGGCAUGCUGGGACAUAGCACAGCAUAUAGAAGGGCAUAUAUGAGAUAUAAGGUGUAUGGGAGCUGCUGAGUCACAGCCUGAACCACUGAUUGAGCACCUGGGGAAAGAACCCGGUUAGCCCUGGGAGCACAGGUGAAGGCAAUUCAUGUGUGUGACUGGAAGGGGUGGAGCCUGCCUGCACCUCUCUUAGACCCCCAUUUAAGGGCUGACUGCCACUGGGGAAGGUUCUCUUUCUGGAGAUCCCUUCUUAGUGGAGCUUUCUCCUGGGAUCUUCUGAUACGGUUCUCCACUUGCUAUGGUGCUGCUGUGCCACUACUGUUAAUAAUGUCAUCAAGCCUUACCUGCGUGAAUGACUGCAAAAGAUGCCAAUGGCAACCUCAAGGACAGAGUGAGACCUUGCGGUCACCGGGACACCGAUGACGCUUCUCUGUGUGAUGGAUGUGUUCACAGAAUUAGGCCCCAUGACACGGAAGUGGAUGCUGCUCCAAUUUUCUUUCAAGAAACACUACCGGAAUCAUCCUUAAGAUGAAAUUUCAUUUUAAAACUGCAUUCUUUCUCUAGCAAUGGGAACAUUAAGCCAUUCCAAUUGGUUUGUCAGCCAUACUGAAGCAGCUGGAAGAGGUUAGAAUAGUGAAACUGGAGUCCACCUACCUGCUGGAAAAGUACAGCUGAAAGAGGCAAUUUCUAGACAACAAAGGGUAAGGAGGUGAGGUGAAGAUACUGUUGUUCUAGUGGCCAGAAGGGUGCUAUCAUCAAGUUAGUAAGAAUAAUGUUUUCCUUAGCUCUCAUGGGACUUCUUUGUCCAUGUGGAUCCAUUUCAAACACUUUUUCCCCUUUAAGCACUCCUUGAUAAUAAAAAAAACUGAUAUAAGCGCUCUUUCAUGGGAAGAAUCUCACUUUGGUCUGUGUAUUUUGUCUUCAGAAAACCAUAGGGCUCAGAGUGGGUACAGAAAGAGCUUAGUACUCAAAAAAUGCAGCCCGCAGCUGAGAGAAACUGCAAGAGCAGGGGUUAAUGGUACUGAGGGCUUCAUGGUUCAGCUGUUUGCAGAUCAGUAAUUAGAAUCCUCUGCUUACCGCAUUGAUCUCUCCCUGAGCAGCACUGUGAAAUACUACAGAGAGAUCUAUUAGUCAUAGAGAUAUUUGGGUGGGGGAAGGAAAUGAAACACUUCCCCCCACCGUUUCUAGGUAUUUGAGGGCAAGAAGAGUGUUCUUCUACCUUUAAGGAGAAGCUGUGGUCUGCCUCCAGGGCUGCUGGGGCAGGCUGUCUCCGUGAGGGGCAGCUGGAGCUGUGAGAGCACAAUGUGCCAUGGUUGUGAUAAAGGUGUGUGCAGGCUGUAUGCUGGUGCACACUUGGGGCUGCACUGUGUGGUGUGAGUAAUAAUGUACCAGCACAGCAGGGGGAGAAGGUCUCCUGGCAUGUAACUAACCUUUCUGCUGUUAAAUCCCUGCCUGAUCUGUGCAGAAAUGCUAGAGAAUGUGUGUGCUUUCCCUACUGUCUCUAAAGGGGCUGUAUUCCAGGUGGGAGCAGGGGUAAUGUAAAGGACUGAAUAUCAGUGUGAUACUCUUAUGAGUAAGACUGUAUCUGGUGUGACUUCUUAUGGGAGGUUUUGGAGAACCAGGGAACAGGGCUGCUGAGAAGGGAGUUGAGUCUGUGAAAGGAUGUGACUCUCACUUAGAUGUUUGCUUAAAAGCUGUGAGAAGAACAGAUGAGCUGCAACCAGAUGCUAAGGUGAUGGCAACACAGUCAGGGGCGUCUUGUAUUGUUGAAGACCAUUCUACUACAGUUAAAAACAAGUCUAGAAAAGCCUUCUGACAGGGUUUGUUUUUUUUUUUAAUAAAACCUAUCUCACAGUGAAACUAGGCUAACAAAUAGUACUGUAAAAUUAACUUCUGCUUGCCAUCACCCUUGUAAAUAAGCCUAUUUCUUAAUUCUCAUAUGAGGUAAUGAGAGAUUAAAACACAUCACUACUUAUGCUAACAAACUACAUGGGAAAUUGACUUUUGUCUUUAAAAAAAAAAAAAUCAGAGUUGUAACUUUGGACACUGUGUCCAAACCAUACUAAGAAAUAUGUGUCAGCAGGAUCCGAGUUAGGGUUGUAAUGCUGCUGUCUAGCUAUAGAUCUUGAGACAAAGAAUCAAUAGGAACAAGUAAAUAAAAGUUGGUAAUGAG